UAACGCGAAGAACCUUACCUAGGCUUGACAUGCACGGAAAUCUCGUAGAGAUACGGGGUGCCUUUGGCGUCGUGCACAGGUGGUGCAUGGUUGUCGUCAGCUCGUGUCGUGAGAUGUUGGGUUAAGUCCCGCAACGAGCGCAACCCUCGUUCUAUGUUGCCAGCACGUGAUGGUGGGGACUCAUAGGAGACUGCCGGGGUCAACUCGGAGGAAGGUGGGGAUGACGUCAAAUCAUCAUGCCCCUUAUGUCUAGGGCUGCAAACAUGCUACAAUGGCCGGUACAAAGGGCUGCGAUACCGCGAGGUGGAGCGAAUCCCAAAAAGCCGGUCUCAGUUCGGAUUGGGGUCUGCAACUCGACCCCAUGAAGUUGGAGUCGCUAGUAAUCGCAGAUCAGCAACGCUGCGGUGAAUACGUUCCCGGGUCUUGUACACACCGA
rnacentral:rRNA from 1 species